rnacentral:tRNA from 1 species
GCGCCCGUAGCUCAGCCUGGAUAGAGCGUCGGACUUCGAAUCCGCAGGUCACAGGUUCGAAUCCUGUCGGGCGUACAA